CCGGUUACUGGCAAUGCCAACCCUGUGGAUUUUCCUUGUGUCUGUGGCUUGGGUUUAUGGAGACACCAAAAUGAGAAUAUCUCAAGAUCAACUCUCCUUUAUCCGAAGACCAAAUAGAACUGUGCACAUAAGCUGCAAGCUGUCUGGGGUUCCCCUUGAGAAUGCCAUUGUGCACUGGUAUCAACAAAAAAAAGGGGAGCCCUUGAGGCGAAUCCUUUAUGGCUCAACCAAGAAUAGCAAGGACAACAAGCUCAAUCCCCGCUUGGAGGCAUAUAGGAAAGAUGGAACCUUUAACCUGAUAAUCAAUAAUGUCGUCAAGUCUGAUGAAGCUAUCUACUACUGUGCCUGCUGGGAUCUCACAAUGUCACAGAGUCACAAGGGACCU